AAGCCUUGAAAAUAGACGAAGUGAACAAAGGGAGAUUCCAAGCCUGAUACUAUUUCUUUUCUCUUUUUCCAUUAAGUUCCCAGGAUUUCUUCCCUGAAGCCAUAAAGAGAAAGCUGUGUCUUCAGAGCAAGAGAAAAAAACACAGAACAGGUAAUUAUCCUGUUAAUUUUAAGGGUAUAAUUUUAGGCCCCAAGGUAGAUAGUUUUCAUUGGAGUUACCCAGUUUGGCUGCACAGUGAAAGCCAAAGACAACAUUAGUAAAGUAGACUUUUGUUUGUUUCCAGAUCUUCGGCUCUACUCUUUCCGAAAGUGGCUUGAGCUCUGAGGAUGAAUUCUCAGCUUGCCAGAAAUCCCUUUGGAUCCUGUCUGAGAGAAUUUUAAAGUCUAAGGUGAAAAUUACUUCUCAUUCCCCUGGAGUUUCAUCUCAAGAAGAUUCAAACAUCUUUGGACUAUGGAGAAGGCCUCAUAAGAAAGUGCCUCUUUCUUGAUGCUUUAUAAAGACAGCUUUAUUUCUGAUUUUUCACUACCAGAGAUAUACUACCAGGUGUUAAAGGGUUCAUUCUGCUAAAAGAAUAUCUCCAAGAGAGUUUGCAGAAAAGUAAAGCGAAGUCAGG
rnacentral:lncRNA from 1 species